rnacentral:rRNA from 1 species
UACGAAGGGUGCAAGCGUUAAUCGGAAUUACUGGGCGUAAAGCGUGCGCAGGCGGCUUUGCAAGACAGAUGUGAAAUCCCCGGGCUCAACCUGGGAACUGCAUUUGUGACUGCAUGGCUAGAGUGCGGCAGAGGGGGAUGGAAUUCCGCGUGUAGCAGUGAAAUGCGUAGAUAUGCGGAGGAACACCGAUGGCGAAGGCAAUCCUCUGGGCCUGCACUGACGCUCAUGCACGAAAGCGUGGGGAGCAAACAGG